rnacentral:lncRNA from 1 species
AAACAAAAAUAUAAUUAAAAAUUUAAAACUUUUGACUAAAUUACUUUGGUAGCAUUUGUUGUAUCAUUAGUGUUAAUCAUAAUUUAAAAUAAAAAAUAAUCAAAUUUAGCUAGGAUCGUUUAGUUCGUACGUGCAUGUAGUCGAAAAUAUAGUAACUAUAAUGAGAGAUUUAAUCGAUUGAAGACACUAAUAAUGUGGUGCAACUUUUGAACUACUACACAAAAGACCACCUAAGUUUUGAUUUUAUUAUAAUUAUAAAAAUUAGACCAUAUUUGAAUAUUAGAAUAAAUUAUACUAUGAUAUCUUAUUCUAGUAAAGUAUAAUCAAAUGUCUAAAAUAGCAUAGUAAAGUUUUUUUUUUUUUUUCAAAAUAGUAAGAUAAUGCUAAAAGAUUCAUAUUCAAAAAGGGUAAUAUAAUGUGUAAUUAUUGUCAGAUCGUUGAUUUUAACCAUUAAACUCAAAAAUUCGAGUUAUUAGAAAUAUACAAUAAAUUUACUUAAAACGAAUAGAUACAAUGCCUACGAAUUUCGAUUAUGACUCGAUCUAACCAACCUUACGCUAUUUCGAAUAUGAUUCGACCCAACCCGAUCUCCAUUUCUAUUUGGAAUGUCUAAGAAGCUUUUAACAUAUGAUUCGUGAGCGGGAGCAUCGA